GUGACAAGCCCUCAAGACUCAGAAUUUUCCCAGGGCUGUCAAGAUUCCAAACUGUUGAACAGACAAUUUCUCCAACAGCUCUCUGGACCUGAGAGAAGGAGGGGACAGGUGUAUGUAUGAAUCAUCUUGAACCCAUCCAUCAAACAACUGGCCUUGAGGAUUUUCUAGCUGUGGUGAAAGAAUAACUCCAGUCUUCCGGGUGGACAGCCAGACUGGAGAAAAGAUCACUACCCUUCUGGGACAUCUGAGGACAUCAGCUGGAUUCCUAUUUCUGGCUCACCAAGGACUCUUUGUCUGACAGCAAGUGGCUCACAAGACAGAAUACAGUCCAAGAUGGGAAGCAGUGUAGAAAAAGUAAAGCAGGGAAAGAAGAGACAAAGCAAAAGAAAAAUCCCCAAAACAGCUUCUGGACAGCAUCAUCUCUAGUCUACUCCACUUUCCAAAUACCACCA